ACUACAACCAGCAGCGACCGUCUCAGGAGCUGGUCGCCAAGGAUUUGCACGACACCGAGUGGAAGUUUCGCCACAUCUAUCGAGUUUUUGUCCAGUGAUAGGAAGGGAAAACAAAUUGUUGGAAGAAUAGUGGUGUACUGGAGUCAGAAUCAAUCAGACACCUUGUUAAGUAAAAAUUUGAUGUGUGCCACUUGUGAUUUUGAGUUGAUAAAGAACUUCAAAAUGUACUUC